GAGAACUCCGGUCCAGCAGCCGCGGUAAGACGGAGGAGUCAAGCGUUAUCCGGAAUCAUUGGGUUUAAAGGGGCCGUAGGCGGCCUUAUAAGUCAGCGGUGAAAGUUUUUGGCUUAACCAAAAAAUUGCCAUUGAUACUGUAGGGCUUGAAUAUUUGUGAAGUAACUAGAAUAUGUAGUGUAGCGGUGAAAUGCUUAGAUAUUACAUGGAAUACCAAUUGCGAAGGCAGGUUACUAACAAAUGAUUGACGCUGAUGGACGAAAGCGUGGGUAGCGAACAGGAUUAGAUACCCUGGUAGUC
rnacentral:rRNA from 1 species